CAGCAGCCGCGGUAAUACGAAGGGGGCUAGCGUUGCUCGGAAUUACUGGGCGUAAAGGGCGCGUAGGCGGACAGUUAAGUUGGGGGUGAAAGCCCGGGGCUCAACCUCGGAAUUGCCUUCAAUACUGGCUGUCUUGAGUACGGGAGAGGUGAGUGGAACUCCGAGUGUAGAGGUGAAAUUCGUAGAUAUUCGGAAGAACACCAGUGGCGAAGGCGACUCACUGGCCCGUUACUGACGCUGAGGCGCGAAAGCGUGGGGAGCAAACAGGAUUAGAUACCCUGGUAGUCCACGCCGUAAACGAUGAGUGCUAGUUGUCGGCAUGCAUGCAUGUCGGUGACGCAGCUAACGCAUUAAGCACUCCGCCUGGGGGGUACGGUCGCAAGAUUAAAACUCAAAUAAAUUGACGG
rnacentral:rRNA from 1 species